rnacentral:rRNA from 1 species
GACAGAGGGGGCAAGCGUUGCUCGGAAUUACUGGGCGUAAAGGGCUCGUAGGCGGCCAACUAAGUCCGACGUGAAAUCCCAAGGCUUAACCUUGGAACUGCGUCGGAUACUGGAUGGCUUGAAUUCGGGAGAGGGAUGCAGAAUUCCAGGUGUAGCGGUGAAAUGCGUAGAUAUCUGGAGGAAUACCGGUGGCGAAGGCGGCAUCCUGGACCGACAUUGACGCUGAGGAGCGAAAGCUAGGGGAGCAAACGGG